CCUACGGGUGGCAGCAGUGGGGAAUAUUGCGCAAUGGGCGAAAGCCUGACGCAGCGACGCCGCGUGAGGGAUGAAGGUCUUCGGAUCGUAAACCUCUGUCAGCAGGGAAGAACGGUCACGGGGCUAAUCAGCAGUGAAUUGACGGUACCGGCAAAGGAAGCACCGGCUAACUCCGUGCCAGCAGCCGCGGUAAGACGGAGGGUGCGCGCGUUAAUCGGAAUUACGGGGCGGAAAGCGCUCGUAGGCGGUAGGUCAUGUCAAGGGUGAAAUACCCGCUCGCACCCUGGGAACUGCCUUUGCAUCUGGCAAACUGGAGUGUGUGAGAGGAUAGUGCAAUUCCUGGUGU
rnacentral:rRNA from 1 species